UAAAAAGCUCGUAGUUGAAAUUGUGUCCUGCGGCGUCGGUCUACCGAUUGCGGUAUGACAGGCGUGUCUUUUGCGGGGCUUCUCGCUGUGUGCUCUCCGUCUGCGUAUGUUUGGCGUCGGUCCUCACGGAACGGCGUCGCGUCGUGGCGGGCUCUCGCGGCUGUUUACUUUGAACAAAUUAGAGUGCUCAAAGCGGGCUAAUAUUUGCCUGAAUAUUGUGCGCAUGGAAUAAUAGAAUAGGACCUCGGUUCUGUUUUGUUGGCUUUCUGAUACCAGAGGUAAUGAUUAAUAGGGACAACUGGGGGCAUUCGUAUUGCGACGUUAGAGGUGAAAUUCUUGGAUCGUCGCAAGACGAACUAAAGCGAAAGCAUUUGCCAAAGGUGUUUUCAUUAAUCAAGAACGAAAGUUAGAGGUUCGAAGGCGAUUAGAUACCGCUGUAGUUCUAACCAUAAAUGAUGCCAGCCAGCGAUCCGCCGAAGUUUUUUACGUUGAUUCGGUGGGCAGCUCCCGGGAAACCAAAGCUUUCGGGCUCCGGGG
rnacentral:rRNA from 1 species